GAUGAACGCUGGCGGCGUGCCUAAUACAUGCAAGUCGAGCGAACGGACGAGAAGCUUGCUUCUCUGAUGUUAGCGGCGGACGGGUGAGUAACACGUGGAUAACCUACCUAUAAGACUGGGAUAACUUCGGGAAACCGGAGCUAAUCCCGGAUAAUAUUUUGAACCGCAUGGUUCAAAAGUGAAAGACGGUCUUGCUGUCCCUUAUAGAUGGAUCCGCGCUGCAUUAGCUAGUUGGUAAGGUAACGGCUUACCAAGGCAACGAUGCAUAGCCGACCUGAGAGGGUGAUCGGCCACACUGGAACUGAGACACGGUCCAGACUCCUACGGGAGGCAGCAGUAGGGAAUCUUCCGCAAUGGGCGAAAGCCUGACGGAGCAACGCCGCGUGAGUGAUGAAGGUCUUCGGAUCGUAAAACUCUGUUAUUAGGGAAGAACAUAUGUGUAAGUAACUGUGCACAUCUUGACGGUACCUAAUCAGAAAGCCACGGCUAACUACGUG
rnacentral:rRNA from 1 species